rnacentral:rRNA from 1 species
GAUAAACGCUGGCGGCGUGCAUAACACAUGCAAGUCGAACGAUGAAGAUUAAAAGAUUUCUUCGGAAUGAACUUAAUUGGAUUAGUGGCGGACGGGUGAGUAACGCGUGAGUAACCUGCCUUGUACAAGGGGAUAGCCGUUGGAAACGACGAAUAAUACCCUAUGACAUCAAAUAAUCGCAUGGUAAUUUGAUCAAAGAUUUAUCGGUAUAAGAUGGACUCGCGUCUGAUUAGCUAGUUGGUAGAGUAAAAGCCUACCAAGGCAACGAUCAGUAGCCGGCUUGAGAGAGUGUACGGCCACAUUGGGACUGAGACACGGCCCAGACUCCUACGGGAGGCAGCAGUGGGGAAUUUUGCACAAUGGGGGAAACCCUGAUGCAGCGACGCCGCGUGAUUUAGAAGGCCUUCGGGUUGUAAAAAUCUUUUGUAUGGGAAGAAAAUGACAGUACCAUACGAAUAAGGACCGGCUAAUUACGUG